rnacentral:rRNA from 1 species
GACAGAGGUCCCGAGCGUUAGGCGGAAUCACUGGGCUUAAAGCGUGUGUAGGCGGAUUUGUAAGUACCUUGUGAAAUCCCACGGCUCAACCGUGGAACUGCUUGGUAUACUGCUUAUCUUGGGCCAUCUAGGGGCUACCGGAACAAGUGGUGGAGCGGUGAAAUGCGUAGAUAUCACUUGGAACGCCAAUGGUGAAAACAGGUAGCUGGGGAUGUGCCGACGCUGAGACACGAAAGCCAGGGGAGCGAACGGGG